CUACAUCAUCAUUGGCUACACACAUGUGAACAGAAUGAGUCAAGUAUUAUGUGAAGGCAUGUUUCAUUCAGAUAUAGGUUGGGUACAAUACAACCAAUGCCCAGAUAUGAAGUGAGUGGCAUGGUAUCAGCCAGUGCAGACUGGUCAAGGCCUACUCCAAUUACAGAAAAAGUAUAGAAUGAAAGGGUAAAAUUGUAAAUUAAACAUCACGAAUAAAGGCAAUAAAAAGCAGGGGAAAAGAUAAAGCCAACAGUGAGGACAAUGGGAUGAAGAAGCAAAUGUUAUAUUGUUUCUGCUGAUGAAAAAUGGCAACCAGUGCAGACCUUUGGCAUGAAUUCAUCAAUAGCAACAUAAAUUUUAUCAACAAUUAAAAAAUGAAAAGCAUUUUCAGGAACUAUAUGUUGUUUCAAGAUUUUACAUAACAAGCAGUUCUCACUCCUUUUUUUUUCAAAAAACUUUAUUCAAAUGUGUUAUAAACUGAUGUAAACAA
rnacentral:lncRNA from 1 species